AACUGAUACUACCUGCGGGAACCUGCGGAGGGAUCAUUACAGAGUUUUCUAAACUCCCAAACCCAUGUGAACAUACUUCUGUUGCCUCGGCGGGGGAUGUCUUUCGAGUAUAGAAUCGUUUCUCGAGACUAUAAGCGGGGGCAGCCUGCCCUGUAGCGACCUACCCUGUAGGGACCUACCCGGGAACCGCCGGUGGAUCACACAAUCUCUUUGUCUUUAGUGGCACUUCUGAGUAAUUAC
rnacentral:misc_RNA from 1 species